GGAUGCGAUCAUACCAGCACUAAUGCACCGGAUCCCUUGGGCGAGAGUAGUACUAGGAUGGGUGACCCCUGGGAAGUCCUCGUGUUGCAUCCC
rnacentral:rRNA from 1 species